CAUCCAGAGCCAACCACUUACCAGGUUCUAUGAAUUCUCUCUGUUGAACAUCAAGUUGUCUCACCAUUUCCUAAUGUAUCUAGGAUAAGUCUGUUUUAAUAUUCAUCAUAGUCUCUAAAAUCUAACAGAGACUCUCCUAAUUCAGGCUCAUAUAUCAUACUUGGAAGAAUAUUACCCUGUCAAAUAAUGAGUAUCUCUGCUUCUAGGCUUGUUCUCCUCCCUCAAUUCCAUCCCAAACACUACUACAAGAUUGCAUGUAAGUUAAAGGCCAAUCUCCUUAGCAGUUUUUCAAUACACCCCCCACCUCCUUGUAAAUCAAUCUUUCCUUUUCAGUCUUAUCUUCACAAGUACUUCAUUAUAAGCUUCUUGUUUUAGACAGAUUGUUCCCCAAAAGUGAUUUGUGCUAUUUUGUCCCUACGUUUUUGUUCAUAAUUCCUUUUUUACGUUCUUUUCUAAUUAUCUAACCCUUAAAAUUUGGCUCAAAUCCCAUGUCUUUACUCUGCCUUCCCAUACAAUGCUAACCUGAAUUGACUUCCUUAUUCUUUAAACUGGUAUAGUAGUUAUUCAUAUAGGAACAAUUGUCAACAAACCAGGUACUCCCCUGUGACAGCAGCAUGGUACAACAGAAAGAACAUUGGCUAUGAGGUUAAAGGGCAAUAGUUUGAAUCCUAAGUGUCAAUGGACAUGUCACUCUCCCUUCUUAGAGCUCAGUUUCCUCAUCUAUAAAAUAAGGGGGUUGAUUAGAGGAUCCCUGGAGUCUCUUCCAACUCUAAACAUAUGGUUAUAUGAUCUUACAGUUAGAGUGGUGGAGAGGGACAGUUUUUGAAGCCCUGGGACCCACUACGUGAUAGUGGUGAGACUACUUUGGGGCUCCUUUUUUUUUUUAUUUAAGUGAGGUCCAACUUAAAUAGAAAUUGAUCUAUAGGUUGCAUUUGACUAAGAAAAGCACAAAUUAACAUGAUCUAUUUGGCACUGUAUCUUUAUUUUGUUAAACAUUUCCCAUUAUGUCUUAACAAAGUUCUAGAAGCAUGCAGGUGAGUGGGCCUGCGUGCAAUACACAAGUUUGACACCACAGAUAUGGAUACAUACCACCUCACAGAAGUGUGGGAGUAAAGUUAACAUCACCACAGUACAUUAUACUACACAUAAAGGCAACUUAUCACAUGAGAACAAGUCCUAGCUCUACUGCUUCAGAGUUGUGUCAACUUUGGUUGGUUGGCUCAAUUCAUAGCUCCAACAAUGCAGGAGAAUCUUAGUCUACCAGUCUGCUCCUAACUCCUUCAACAACUUUCUGCUGUUUUUGUCAAUUUGAUGGCUAGCUGUCAAAAUAUUGGUGAAGAUAUCUGCUGGAAAAAUGGGUACCUCUGCCAUCACUACAGUAGAAGAUGUAAAAAGGCAAGAGGAGAAAGAGGAAAAAGAAGAAUCUAUUUUAGCCAUGUUAGGAAUCAUUGGGACAGUGCUUAACCUCUUUGUUAUUGUUUUUGUGUACAUAUACACUACACUUUAAUGGUAUUUUCUAGCGAUAGUUAUAUAUUUGGGGGAAAAAUAGCACUGAAAAUAAUGUUUCUAAUACUUCAUUUAAAAAGCAGUGUCUCUGAAAGCUGUAAGGCACAUUCCAGGGUUAAGUGUCUCACUCAAGGCACAUUACUGAUUGUGAAAUGCAUCUGGAAAUCCAGUGAAUGGUAUCUAAGUAUGGCAAGAUGGACAGAUAAGAUUCAGUUUACAAAGAUAAAAGACUGGGGAGGCUGAAGCAGCACAAAUAUGAAUAAUUAUGUCCUUUUCUGCUACAAAGUAUGCAAGAAACUGCUCAUGUAAACAAGAUAAUAGAUGGCAAUGCCACAGACACCUUGAUCAGGGUACAUUAUUUAAUACACACACAUACACACACACAUAAAAUUUACAAUCAGACUUGUGUUAAAAUCUUUUUUUCUUUGAGAUCCUGAAUACACACCUUAUAUGUAUGAUUGAAAAGGUGAUAAUUUAGAUAGUAUGGAAAGAACAUUACUAAUCAAAUGUACUGUAAAAUUACCAAUACAAUUUUAACCAUGGCUUGUACUGUCUAGCAUUAUUUUUAACCUUUCUACAUACUGAUCAAUAUUUUCAGAUGAUGAAAUUGCCUUUGGCUCUAGAUAAAAAUCAAAGGUGUUGCA